GUCAGCCGCCGCGGUAACACCGGCGGCCCGAGUGGUGAUCGUGAUUAUUGGGUCUAAAGGGUCCGUAGCCGGUUUGGUCAGUCCUCCGGGAAAUCUGAUAGCUCAACUAUUAGGCUUUCGGGGGAUACUGCCAGACUUGGAACCGGGAGAGGUAAGAGGUACUACAGGGGUAGGAGUGAAAUCUUGUAAUCCCUGUGGGACCACCUGUGGCGAAGGCGUCUUACCAGAACGGGUUCGACGGUGAGGGACGAAAGCUGGGGGCACGAACCGGAUUAGAUACCCGGGUAGUCCCAGCCGUAAACGAUGCUCGCUAGGUGUCAGGCAUGGCGCGACCGUGUCUGGUGCCGCAGGGAAGCCGUGAAGCGAGCCACCUGGGAACGUACGGCCGCAAGGCUGAAACUUAAAGGAAUUGGCGGGGGAGCACAACAACGGGUGGAGCCCUGCGGUUUAAUUGGACUCAACGCCGGACAACUCACCGGGGGCGACAGCAAUAUGUAGGCCAAGCUGAAGACUUUGCCUGAAUCGCUGAGAAGUGGUGCAUGG
rnacentral:rRNA from 1 species